rnacentral:rRNA from 1 species
AACGCGAAGAACCUUACCAGCUCUUGACAUGCCUCGUAUGGGUCCGGGAGACCGGGUCCUUCGGUUCGGCCGGCGGGGACACAGGUGCUGCAUGGCUGUCGUCAGCUCGUGUCGUGAGAUGUUGGGUUAAGUCCCGCAACGAGCGCAACCCUUGUCCUUAGUUGCCAUCAUUAAGUUGGGAACUCUAAGGAGACCGCCGGUGACAAACCGGAGGAAGGUGGGGAUGACGUCAAGUCAUCAUGGCCUUUAUGGCCAGGGCUACACACGUGCUACAAUGGCAGGUACAGAGGGAAGCCAACGCGCGAGCGGGAGCCAAUCCCAGAAAGCCUGUCGUAGUCCGGAUCGGAGUCUGCAACUCGACUCCGUGAAGUCGGAAUCGCUAGUAAUCGCAGAUCAGCAUUGCUGCGGUGAAUACGUUCCCGGGCCUUGUACACACCGCAUAC